rnacentral:rRNA from 1 species
ACAUGCAAGUCGAGCGGUAACAGAAAUUAGCUUGCUAAUUUGCUGACGAGCGGCGGACGGGUGAGUAAUGCCUGGGAAUAUGCCUUGAUGUGGGGGAUAACUAUUGGAAACGAUAGCUAAUACCGCAUAAUGUCUUCGGACCAAAGAGGGGGAUCUUCGGGCCUCUCGCGCUAAGAUUAGCCCAGGUGAGAUUAGCUAGUUGGUGAGGUAAGAGCUCACCAAGGCGACGAUCUCUAGCUGGUCUGAGAGGAUGACCAGCCACACUGGGACUGAGACACGGUCCAGACUCCUACGGGAGGCAGCAGUGGGGAAUAUUGCACAAUGGGCGAAAGCCUGAUGCAGCCAUGCCGCGUGUAUGAAGAAGGCCUUCGGGUUGUAAAGUACUUUCAGUUGUGAGGAAGGGUGUGUAGUUAAUAGCUGCGCAUCUUGACGUUAGCAACAGAAGAAGCACCGGCUAACUCCGUGCCAGCAGCCGCGGUAAUACGGAGGGUGCGAGCGUUAAUCGAAAUUACUGGGCGUAAAGCGCAUGCAGGUGGUUCAUUAAGUCAGAUGUGAAAGCCCGGGGCUCAACCUCGGAACUGCAUUUGAACUGGUGAACUAGAGUGCUGUAGAGGGGGGUAGAAUUUCAGGUGUAGCGGUGAAAUGCGUAGAGAUCUGAAGGAAUACCAGUGGCGAAGGCGGCCCCCUGGACAGACACUGACACUCAGAUGCGAAAGCGUGGGGAGCAAACAGGAUUAGAUACCCUGGUAGUCCACGCCGUAAACGAUGUCUACUUGAAGGUUGUGGCCUUGAGCCGUGGCUUUCGGAGCUAACGCGUUAAGUAGACCGCCUGGGGAGUA